UUAGAUCAAUGAAAAUAAAAAUUGCCGUUUCGUCAAAUCCUGUCGCAGCCAAAAACCCUAAACCUUUGAGCACACAGACAGAGAGGAAGAUGGGAAAUACAAGCAAAGACCUUCUGCAAUUCGAGCACAAAAAGGCUUCAACUUCACCUUUAGAAAGCACGCUACUUGGUUGUAAAACUGCCUCAACGAAGAAAGCUCAAGCCGAAAGGAAACCCGGCCCUGCUCUUCCUCUUCCCAAAAGCCAAGUUUUGGGAGAAGUAAGGGACUUCUUGGAAGUCAUAUCAGAAGCUAACGAAUGACUAAAGCAGGAUGCAAAGGAUAAUCCAGAAAACUAUGAUAUUGACGUGCUCACUGGAAAUGAAUCUCAAGUCGUUAAUAUGGAGUUGAUGCUGGGCGUUGCUGAUCUUCAAACUCCUUAGGCUGUGGCUGCUGCUGAAUCUGCAAUUGUUGGUUGUCACCCUGUUAUACCAUUGGCCGUCAACAGUAGCAGAGAGGAAUCAGAGGACAGCAGUGAUGAUGACAGCAGCAGCGAUGAUAGUGACGACGAAGAUAGUUCCGAUGAUAGUAGCAGCAAUGAUAAUGAAGACGAAGAUAGUGAUGAAAUCAAAGAUGAUACAAGUGAUAAAGAGGAUAAGAAAACAAAGGAAAACGUUUUGAAAACCAAAUUGUAAAAGCCUAGGGUUCCACCAUCCCCUUAACAAUCCUACGUAGUUCUUCUAAUUCCUUAUGAAUUACACAUGCAUGUUUCGAAGGUUAGGUUUUCCUAAAGUAUGCCCUACUUGGAACCCCCAACAUAGAACGUAUAUCUAACAUGCAAAUUGCCCAAGGCGUCCAGAUUGAAUGUGAACAUUCAAGACUCAUUAAGUUUUGUGAAAACCUUUUGAAAAACUAUGUAA